rnacentral:rRNA from 1 species
AACGAACGCUGGCGGCAUGCCUAACACACGCAAGUCGAACGAGACCUUCGGGUCUAGUGGCGCACGGGUGCGUAACGCGUGGGAACCUGCCCUUAGGUUCGGAAUAACUCCCCGAAAGGGGUGCUAAUACCGGAUAAUGUCUUCGGACCAAAGAUUUAUCGCCUUUGGAUGGGCCCGCGUUGGAUUAGCUAGUUGGUAGGGUAAAAGCCUACCAAGGCGACGAUUCAUAGCUGGUCUGAGAGGAUGAUCAGCCACACUGGGACUGAGACACGGCCCAGACUCCUACGGGAGGCAGCAGUGGGGAAUAUUGGACAAUGGGCGAAAGCCUGAUCCAGCAAUGCCGCGUGAGUGAUGAAGGCCUUAGAGUUGUAAAGCUCUUUUACCCGGGAUGAUAAUGACAGUACCGGGAGAAUAAGCUCCGGCUAACUCCGUG